rnacentral:rRNA from 1 species
CCUACGUGGGGCAGCAGUGGGGAAUAUUUGGCAAUGCGCGCAAGCCUGACCCAGCAACGCCGCGUGAAGGAAGAAGGCUUUCGGGUUGUAAACUCCUUUUGUCAGGGACGAAGCAAGUGACGGUACCUGACGAAUAAGCCACGGCUAACUACGUGCCAGCAGCCGCGGUAAUACGGAGGUGGCAAGCGUUAUGCGGAUUUACUGGGUGUAAAGGGCGUGUAGGCGGGACUGCAAGUCAGAUGUGAAAACCACGGGCUCAACCCGUGGCCUGAAUUUGAACCUGGAGUUCUUGAGUACUGGAGAGGCAGGCGGAAUUCGUGGUGUAGCGGUGAAAUGCGUAGAUAUCAGGAGGAACACCGGUGGCGAAGGCAGGUUGCUGGA